GUAAUGCAAAUGAAGAUAAAGAAGAAACAAUGGAGAACGUUGCAACAGAAGUAGUGGAAUUCCCAGAAGGAAUUCCACCAACGCCAACAUAUUUAUUCUGGAACGAAAAAUUUCGGCCACGAAGAGGUACAAAUUCAAGAUAAUUGAAAUUACACUUGAUUUCAAGAUGUUGUUCCUAACAAUCAAAUCGCUCUAUUGUGAUAGGUUCUUAUGUCCUCAAUUUUUACCCCAACUGUAGCAAUAAGAAGAAACGAUUAGAGCGAAGGGAUAGAUAUUGCAGAAGACUGAAAAGCUUCGUGAUGAAACCGGUCUGACAUGCUUUAUUCGUUGAGAAGUAUGUAUCACAUAAGUAAGUAUACACCAAGAAAUAAAAUAUUAAACCUGUAAGACCAAUAAACAAGAGAUACUUAA